rnacentral:rRNA from 1 species
GACUGGAUGAGCAGCGAACGGGUGAGUAACGCGUGGGGAAUCUGCCUUUGAGCGGGGGACAACAUUUGGAAACGAAUGCUAAUACCGCAUAAAAACUUUAAACACAAGUUUUAAGUUUGAAAGAUGCAAUUGCAUCACUCAAAGAUGAUCCCGCGUUGUAUUAGCUAGUUGGUGAGGUAAAGGCUCACCAAGGCGAUGAUACAUAGCCGACCUGAGAGGGUGAUCGGCCACAUUGGGACUGAGACACGGCCCAAACUCCUACGGGAGGCAGCAGUAGGGAAUCUUCGGCAAUGGACGAAAGUCUGACCGAGCAACGCCGCGUGAGUGAAGAAGGUUUUCGGAUCGUAAAACUCUGUUGGUAGAGAAGAACGUUGGUGAGAGUGGAAAGCUCAUCAAGUGACGGUAACUACCCAGAAAGGGACGGCUAACUACGUGCCAGCAGCCGCGGUAAUACGUAGGUCCCGAGCGUUGUCCGGAUUUAUUGGGCGUAAAGCGAGCG